GUGGUCAAGCUACUAAGGGCGCACGGGGGAUGUCUUGGUAUCGGAAGGCGAUGAAGGGCGUGGAAGUCUGCGAAAAGCCCGGGGAAGUUGACAAACGAGCGUUGAUCCUGGGAUUCCUGAAUUGUUCCUGCGUUGAAUACAUAGGCGCGUGGAGGCUAACCUGGCGAACUGAAACAUCUAAGUAGCCAGUGGAAAAGAAAGAAAAAUCGAUUCCGUAAGUAGCGGCGAGCGAAAGCGGAAUAGCCCAAACUUCGGGGGUUUUCCCCUGGAGGGUUGUAGGGUCCCUUACAUGAGAGUUACAAAACCACCUGUUAGCAGAAGCUUUUGGAAAGUUGCACCACAGAGGGUGAUAGUCCCGUACGCGACAGCAGUGUGGACUCUCGAGGGAUACCUGAGUAGGUCGGGUCACGUGAAACCCCGACUGAACCAACGGGGACCAUCCCGUAAGGCUAAAUACUCUCCGAUGACCGAUAGUAAACUCAGUAGCGCGAGUGAAAGAUGAGAAGAACCCCUGCUAGGGGAGGAAUGUGAACCUGAAACCGUGUGCCUACAAGCGGUCGGAGCACUAUGCCAGUUUACUGGAAUGUGUGACGGCGUGCCUUUUGCAUAAUGAUCCGGCGAGUUACCGUCUGCGGCUUGGUUAAGUCCCUUCGGGACGAAGCCAUAGGGAAACCGAGUGUUAAUAGCGCGACAUUGUCGUAGGUGGUAGACGCGAAACCUGGUGAUCUACCCAUGAGCAGGUUGAAGCGCGGGUUAAACUGCGUGGAGGACCGAACCCACUUGGGUUGAAAACCGAGGGGAUGACUUGUGGGGAGGAGUGAAAGUCUAAUCAAACCAGGAGAUAGCUCGUUCUCUCCGAAAUAGCUUUAGGGCUAGCCUUGUGCCACUAUGCAUCGGGGGUAGAGAUACUGAAUCGGAUGGGGGCUCUUCCCAGAGUACCCCACUGAACCAAACUCCGAAUACCGAUGUAACUAUCACAGGAGUCAGUCUACGUGGGAUAAGCUGCGUGGUCGAAAGGGAAACAACCCAGACCGUCGGCUAAGGGCCCGAAGUCAUGCUCAGUCACUAAGGAAGUUGAAUUGCUGAGACAGCCAGGAUGUUGGCUUAGAAGCAGCCACCAUUUAAAAAGUGCGUAACAGCUUACUGGUCGAGCA
rnacentral:rRNA from 1 species